rnacentral:lncRNA from 1 species
UUCGGCCGCCGAAAGUGCCUUAGGUUUUGCCCCCGAAACUCCAAGUUCGGCCGCCGAACGUUGCAUGGUUUUGCAUGCAGCUUUGGCUGCCGAAGGAGAGGCGGUUGGCCACCUAUAAAAGGCCCCUUAUCCGGAUUUGAGGUGAGUUUUCUCUCUCUUUUUGGGUAUAGGUGAGUUCUUGGUCUUCUUGGGUUGAUUUGUUGUUGUUUCUUCAAAUCUUUCAAAGUUAAGCAAGUUUUAAGUAGGUUUUAUGUGAUUUUAAAGAGUUUUGGAGCUUGGAGACUUUUGGAGCUGGAUUCUCCAUAUUUUCAAGUUGGGGUCACACCAACUCUCGUUCUUCAAGAGGUAAGUGUAGAUCCUUAGCUUUUACAGUGUUUUAAGUGAGUUUUAUGAAGGGAAAGGGUUAGUUUGCAUGAGUUUUGCAUGGUUGUGCAUGUGAGGGUUUAUGGACCCUUUAUGCCUUUGUAUGUUAUAUGAGUUGUUUUUGGGGUUUUGAGCUUGUUCUAAGCCCUAUGUGCAAGAAGAAGUGUUUAUGCAUGUUUAUGAUGUUUUAGGGGGAUUUUGGGGAGAUGUUUAGAGUUAUGUUAGAAUGGUUUGGUACCUCAUUUGAAUCUACCUGUGUAGGAUUGGACCCGAGGAACCGAGGAGGCCCUAGAGUUAGAGUUGGCCCAGAGUUAGCCAGCAGUGGCAGGUGAGUGGAACUAGACCCUAUGUUUUUAAGUGAAUGUUUUAGCAUGUUCCAUGCAUCAUAAUAUCAUGUUAUAGUAGGGUAUAUUGCAUUAGCAAUCACGAAGAUGAUGCAUUGCAUAUUAUGUUAAUGAUGUGGAUGGACCAAGACGACCCCAAUAGCCCUACAGUGUAUGUUUUAGAAGUCCUGAGGAGCCUCCUGAGGGCCGGGGACAGUGCAUGUUAUAGAAGUCCUGAGGAGCUCCUUUGAGGGCCGGGCACAGAGCAGAGGGAGUUUUGGUGGUCAUGUCCAUCCGAGAUGUGAUUAGUUGUGAUGUGAUGCAUUCCAUGAUGACAUAUGUUUUUAAUGUUUUUAUAGUUCUGCUCAUUGGGCUUUAUAGCUCACCCCAAUCCUUAACCCCCAGUUUUGCAGGGCCAGAGUUAGCUAUGAGAAAGAUCAGAGUCAGCAAGAGUAAAGAGUAAAGUCAGGGCUAUGAGUAUGUGUUUGUAAUAGAAGUUUAGUGGACAUGUAUCUUAAUGUAUUAUGCUGUAAGUUAAGUUAAGUUAAGUUAUGUAUAAGCAUGUUUUAUCAUGUAAUGUAUUUAGAGUUAUAGAGUUGCGCUUGGCCCUAGUGUGUGGAUAAUCCCUUUGUACACGGAUCCUGUUUUACGUUUCUUGAUGAGAAAUGUGUUGAACCAAGCCUGAUGUAUUAUGCUGACCCAUCUAGAUGUGGUUCUAUGUUUUCAGACAUAGUGCAUGCAGGUCAAGCUUGGUAAAUGAAAGAAAAGUUUAGUUUUUAUGGAAAUGUUUGAUCAUGUAUGGGAUUAUUCCAGCUGUGCAGAGUGUUUAGCAGGCUUGCUACGGGUCCCGGCGACCUUAAGCCGAUUUGGACCCUAGCGCCGGUGGCGGUUCGGGCCGUUAUAGAGGGGUAUCGGUUUUCGGGCUGUUACAGAUUGGUAUCAGAGCAUAAGGCCUCAAGAGUACGAUGUGCUGAGUGGAGAUGCUCAGGGAUUAGAGGUAUCCCACAUCGGAAAGAGGUUGUUUUAGAGGGCAAGCACAAUAGUAAGAUCAUGUCCACUAGGAUAGGAUGUGGAGUCCUGUCUUGUAUGAUGUGGUGGAUGGAUAUUGGUGGAUCCUCUAGCCCUCAGCAUGCAUGAGAUGCCAUGUGUGAGUUGAGCAGACCAGGUUUGGCUUAGUUACCCCUGGUACAGAGGAAGAGAGUCCAGGAGGCCGUGUUGCCCCUAGCAUAGUUGGACAUAUCUAUGUUAUGGAUAUGUAGAGGGCUAUUGGUGACCAAUUCAUCCAUGAGAUGAGAUGCUUUGCAUGUGUAUGGGGUUCAUGUGUUACCACAUGGAUCAUUUGAUGAUAUGCCCAUAUGAUGUGAAAUGUUUGUGUUGUGUUUUUGUGGUGCCAUGGUUGAUGUGGACUCAUGUGUAACCGCAUGGGCCAUGUGAUGCUAUGGUUUCUGUGUGUGUGCUCUUUUCUUAGCAGGCAGGAUGAGCGGUACUCGUUGAUCUACUGGAUUGACAGGAGUUUCUCUUGAGAGGAAAGGUACAGAUACUUUCCCCUUGUUAUGCCAAGAGCGCAGUAGUGUAGCAUCAGCAGAGAGGGUUCAUCAAGGGACCCUAGGCGGUCUUUUGAUGUAGUCCGAGGUAGACUGGACCCUAGAGGAUGUUAGCUGAUGUGAGAGUAGCAGAGUUAGAUGUUUAGAGAAGAAAGUUAAUAGAUAGAUGUUCAUAGAAGAGUUAGUAGCUAGAGGUUAGUGUGCCAGAGAAGAGCUUGAGAGAGUUGCUAUGAGAUGCUAUGGCCUCGGGUUUUUAUAACCCCAGGUAUAGUGAGAGUUGAUCUCUCAUCUCUGAGUGCAGCCCCCUCAAGUAGAGUAAGUGAGAUAGAGCAGAGUAAGAAGAAGCAGAGUAAGUGAGCUAGAGCAGAGUAAGAGGUAGAGAAGAGUAAGAGUAAGUGUAAGUUCAGGUAGAGGUUUCAGUUCGAUCUGGGAUUAGGUGGUGGUUGAGGCAGGAGGAGAGGGUUAUCCUUUUCUUCAGUAGGUUCCCGAGGGAAGAUCCGUCAGCUUCAACCUGGAUCUUCACUCUGACUCAGCAGGAGGCUAUCACAUCGAACACGGUGACGUCAGGUACGUUCACUUGUGGGUGUUCGGAUGUGUGUGCUGUUUUUGACCCUAGUGUUUCUCUUUCCCUAUUACUUUGUGAGCCAUAGAGGGAGGGUUUGAUAGCUUCUGGGCUUCGAGUGUCCUCUUUGGGUGAGUAGACCCAAGUGUGAUCCAUCAGAGGCAGAGUCAGUCUGCCAGUAUAGUUCAGAGCAUGGUGAGAGUAGAUGCCUUCCAGCUGACCUUAUGGUUCUAGAUGUGACUGUUUGACGUCCUUCUAGUGGUGGAUUGGCUAGCUACUUGUAGCGCUACCGAGUCUGCAGAGACAAGGUAGUCAUGUUCAGAGUUCAGAGGUUUGGAUGAAUCAGAGGUAAUCCCUGGAAGGGACAGAGUAGUGCCUAGAGGUUUGAUGUCAGUCCUACAGGCUCCUAGUUUGCUCAGGAAAGGUUGUCAGAGGGUUUCUAGCUCUUGUUGGAGAGUUCUGCAGUCAGGUCAGGGAAUCAGCCUCAGUGCCCUGAGCUAGAGAGUUCUUAGAUGUUACCCAGACGAACUGUCAGGUUUACCAUCUGUCAGGGAGAUAGAGUUUGGAGUAGGAGUGGUGUCUGGAUCCAGAACCAUUUCUUUCCUUCCCUACAGGAUGGCACCUGCAGAGUAGAGAGAGGUAGUAGUCAGAGUAGUAGAGAGGCUUGGUAGAUAAGGGUUUUAUCCGACCUAGUACCUCACCCUGGAGUGUUCCAGUGUGGUUGUGGGAAACGAAGGAUGGAUCCUUGAGACUUUGUAGCGACUGUAAGCAGUUGGACAAGGUCACUACCAAGGACAGGUAUGCCCAUGCAAGAUUAAUGAUCUAUUGGAACAGCUUGUCGGCGCGGGUUAUGUUUCUAGAUAGAUCGGAGAUUCGGGUACUAACUGUUGAGAGUUAGAGAAGAAGCCAGUUUAGAUAGAUGAAGAGAGAAGGGCAAGAGUCAGAGUGCGCAGCGGAAGCUGUUGCAGUUCUAGAGACGUUGAGGUAUUGCUGGAGGUGUCUCCUAGUAAGGGUGAUUCGUUUUGAGAAGGAGAGGUAAGCUAGCUCUAAGAUACAUCGGACCCUUUGAAAUCCUAUAAAGGAUUGGGGAUGUAUCCUACCAGUUAGGUUUACCUGCUUUUUAGAAGAGAUCUAUUCGGUUUUCCUUGUUUCCUUGAUAUAGGAGUUGUGUCGGAACCGAGUGAGGUUCUUUUGAACCAGAGGUGGAGAUCUCAGGGGAUCUCACUUGUUUAGAGCUGCUAGAGCGGAUCAUAGACACACAGGUCAGAGUGUAGAGGAACAAGAAGUUCCGAUGGUGUUAGCCCUUGGAAUCACCUCAGUAGUGUUUAGUGUGCUUGGGAGACCGUGAGUUUUUACUCCAGUAGUACCAUGUCUCUUUUAUGUGUUAUGUGUUUAUGUUAUGGCUUUAGUAUGCAUGAGUUAGAGGAAGAACAUUCGGGGAUGAAUGUUGUUUUUAAGGAGGGUAGAUUGUAAUACCCGGCUAGAUUCAGGCAUCGCAAUUCCUACCGUCCGGUGGAAUUCGAGGAUGUCAGAGGUUUCUAGAAGGGUAAAGGAAAGGUUUUCUCAAAUGUUUUUAAGUGUUUUAAGGUUUUAAAUGAGAAAGGAGUUGAGUUUUGAAGAGAAAAGACUAAGGAGGCUUUGGCCAGGUUAGGCCGCCGAAAGUGCCUUAGGUUUUGCCCCCGAAACUCCAAGUUCGGCCGCCGAACGUUGCAUGGUUUUGCAUGCAGCUUUGGCUGUCGAAGGAGAGGUGGUUGGCCACCUAUAAAAGGCCCCUUAUCCGGAUUUGAGGUGAGUUUUCUCUCUCUUUUCGGGUAUAGGUGAGUUCUUGAUCUCCUUGGGUUGAUUUGUUGUUGUUUCUUCAAAUCUUUCAAAGUUAAGCAAGUUUUAAGUAGGUUUUAUGUGAUUUUGAAGAGUUUUG